UACAGAGGGUGCGAGCGUUGUUCGGAAUUCCUGGGCGUAAAGCGCGCGCAGGCGGCCCUUUAAGUCCGUCGGUCAAAUGCCGGGGCUCAACCCCGAGCGUGCCGAGGAUACUGGAGGGCUGGAGACACGUAGAGGCAAGCGGAAUUCCGGGUGUAGCGGUGGAAUGCGUAGAGAUCCGGAAGAACACCGGAGGCGAAGGCGGCUUGCUGGGCGUGAUCUGACGCUGAGGCGCGAAAGCGUGGGGAGCGAUCAGG
rnacentral:rRNA from 1 species